CUCAGGAACUCCUCUGUGACCUCACUGGUCAGCAGACCUGGCAACUCUUCCAAGUCAUUGGGACUGCAAAGCUCAGUCUCAGGUGAAGGGUUCAGCAGUGGGUCGGAUGAUCAAGAUGGAAUACAAUAUUUUAGGUGCCUGUGAGUGAAACCAGUCACUUAGUGACUCCUUGAAUUCUGCAGCGCAAGUGCAAAGUCAGUGUUUUGAAGAAACAAUAAUCCCAAAUCAAGAAAAAAAGAGAAGUGGCUGAGUAUGCCAAGUUUUUGGCAAAGGAGACCAAGGGAAGACUCUAAGGACAGAUUUUCAAGGAAAGGAAGAGAGUAGUACAUGUGUUUGAGACACUAGGGAAAAGUUAUAGAAGACUUGUGGUUACCAGGCAAGAUGAACAUCAGGAGGCAGGAUUUAAGGAGGACCACAGCAUCUUGUCACAACUAUGCUCUGCGAAAAGGCUUACGCUUCAUCCACGUUCCCAACCAGGCUGAAGACAAGUGGUGUGCAACACUUACAUUUGACAGCUGCAAGCAAGCAACCUCUAGCCAGUCUGUCAGAAAAUGUUAUUCAGCUGAGCUGAGAAAGCCACUGGCUAACCUUUCCAGCCACAAACCAUCUUCCUGAAGCCAAAUGAAGCCACAAGAGUCAUGACAACCACCUGCAUAAGUAAUAUUAUUUUCAGUUUUGUUUUUCCAAUUUUUAUUAGUAGACAGAUGCCUCUACCUCAGCAUUCUUACGCUUGCUUUUAUUUUAACUCUAACAGAUGGCUGGUGGUGAGUGUGUGAGUGUAGGAGUUUGUGGAUAGAACCCACAGAAUUUAUUUGAGAACACUGCUUGUUGAAUAGUUCCUCAAAUAGCCAAAACUAUCCUAGAAUAAACA